UUUGACCUUCAGCCACGCCCGGUGAAAACACCACGUCGCUCGGGACGUAAAGAAACACACACAAGACACACGAGAGGACGUAUCUCUCAGACGUCUCCAUGUCUCUGUGAGGAAAUGAGCUGAAUGGAAAGAGAAAGAUGCGUUUCAAGUCCCCGUGUGAAGGUGGACCUACCUGGGGCGGAUGUGUGUGUGAAGGUUGGCUCUGCUCUCCAAACCCUGUGUGUGUCUGUGUGUGUACCUGUGUGUGUCUGUGUGUGUACCUGUGUGUGUCUGUGUGUGUACCUGUGUGUGUCUGUUUGUGUACAUGUGCACUACAAUAGCAGGGUUCUGUAUUUUAGCACCACAGUGCCCAGCAGGAGAAGGGUAUUAUUGUGUGUAUAAUUUUGUUUAGUGCAGUAUAGUAUGGCAUUGUUGUACUCAUAUAUAUACACGUGUAGUUUAGUAUAGUCAUUCUAGUGUAGUGUAGUUUGUAUUACAUAGUGUAGUAUAGUGUAGUAUAAUAUAGCAUAGUCAUGCUAGCAUAGUAAAGUAUAGUCAUACUAUUGUAGGGUAGUGUAGUAUGUUUAGUAUAGUGUAGUUGAGUUUAGUAUAGUUAGGUAUAUUGUAGUUUAGUAUAGUGUGGUUUAGUUUAGUGUGGUUUAGUAAAGUGUAGUUUAGUAUAGUGUGGUUUAGUAUAGUGUAGUUUUGUAUAGUGUGGUUUAGUAAAGUGUAGUUUAGUAAAGUGUAGUUUAGUAUUGUGUGGUUUAGUAUGGUGUAGUUUAGUAUAAUGUGGUUUAGUAUAGUGUAGUUUAGUUUGGUCAUACUAGUGUAUGAUUGUGUAGUUUAGUAUAGUGGGGUUUAGUAUAAUAUUGUUUUGUAUAGUGUGGUGUAUUAUAAUGUAUUUUAGUAUAGUGUGCUUUGGUAUAGUGUGGUUUAGUAUAGUAAUACUAGUGUAUGGUAGCCUGGCUAACACCAGCCCUGAUCUCAACCACACAUUCAGUUCUUGUAUUUGAGGCGUGGUUUACGAAUGCCCAGAGCCGUUUAUUGGGCACUACGAAUGCCUAUCAAAUAACUCUGUAUAUAGCUCAUAGCCAAUGGUAUCAAUUCGACCAGAUGACAUCCGUAGUUCAACCCCAAAAGUUGCAAUUAUUUCAAAAUGAUCUUGCGUUCUAAACUACUUAGAAAACGAUCUAAGGCUGCAUCGAAAGGUAACUUUGGGUCUGCUGCCAUAUUGGAUCAAUAUAUAUAAAUUGUCUUGCUGUCCCCCCCCGUUCUGUGAUUGGUUCCCUCGAUGAGGCGAAAAUCGGAUCCAUUGAAUCCAGGCUGCCGAGCAGCACAAAGUGAAACUGAGCACAAGGGCCGGGGGUCCGCGGCGGACCCAUGGUCCGCACGCUAACUUAUGCUGUCACAGCGCUCGUUCCAAUAUUUGAUCAAACUAUGGAUUUAGGUGUUCAGCUGUCCGAGCGCUAAGCCGUCUCACAUAAUGCCGUUACUUAAGGGGGAACGUUUGUUAUUGGGACCCACAAGUGGCCUUUAUUUUACCUUCUGAACUCAGUCCACCUAUAAGUAGGCCUUUUUCAUAUUCUAGUUUUGGGCCUGAGAACAGAAAAAGAAAAUCGAAUCUUAUUUGCUCGGUCAGAAUCUUUCUGUCUUUUGCUCUCCAACUCAUUCUCACACUGUUUCUCUCACUAUAAACUAUAGGCUCCCUUUCUCGAUUAGCCAACCAUCUCCUCUCUUACGAUUGCCAUCGCGAAAUAUUAAAUCCCAUGUCGUGGGGGUAGAUAAAUGUAAAUGCUAUUCUAACCAUUGUGUCUUACGCAUAGCAAUAGCUCUCUUUACUUCCCUUGGUUUAACUUCCCUUAGUUAUUUGUUAAUAUCCAUUAUAACACCACAAGAAUUACAACCAAACCUUAAUCAAAUCCUGAAAAAACCUUUUUAUUGUCAUACCAGCUAUUUCGGAACUGUAUGAAUUGUUCAGAUGCAUUCCACCAUCUUGCUCCGGUGUAGGUUCAAAUAAAUGCCUAGAAGUGGUGUGCAUUCAGCAUUUGACCCAGAUCUGCUACAUGAUGCAGCUUGGCAGCUCGGAGAGUGAGGGGAGUCAGACACUGACCAAUGGCCUCAGGCCUCGCAUUUCUAAUGCAUCUCCUUUAUGUGACCAAAUGAGUCCCCCGUUUCUCCCUUUGGACAAAGUAGCACAAAGUUUUCUGCAUGGUAACAUUGUGGCCUUUUAUUUAAGGUAAUAUUCUCCAGCACAGAAGAGUGUGGAGGGAGAGGGGGAGAGGAGAGAGAGACAUUAUAAAGGUGCAGGAUUAGAGUGUUUGUGUUCUUUUUGUGCGUGCACACAAGAUGGACAGAGUCAUACUGCUGAGG
ensembl:lncRNA